rnacentral:lncRNA from 1 species
ACUUGUACAAGAACUAGACUCCAUCCGAACUUUCAUAGCGGAUGGAUAUCGGACGAGCUUCUACAAUAGACAGACUCCAGCAGUUGGAUUUCUACAAUGGCCGAUCGCCUCCGGUGUCUGCCGAACCUUCCCAAUGCCAUCUGAGGUCCACCAUCGGCCGACCCUCCACCAGAUUCUACAUGAAACCGGACUUCUCCGAUGGAUAAUUUUCAGACGAGCUUCCACAUCAGGCAAAUCCCAGACGGAUUUCUCUAGCAAUCGGACUCCUAUCGGACUUCACCAACGAAAAGUCUCCAUCCAAGCUUCUACAGCAGAUGACUUCCGCCUGUGGCAUCAGCGCCUGAGGCAUCCGACAAUAGUAGACUCAUCAGCAGCCUCGAAAAUAUCUGAGCUUCUCCUAAAUCGAUGGGAUAGAGAGCCAUUUCGCUCGAUCAGACAUCCCA